rnacentral:tRNA from 1 species
GCUGGAGUAGCUCAGACGGCAGAGCACCUCCAUGGUAAGGAGGGGGUCCGGGGUUCGAUUCCCCGCUCCAGCU